rnacentral:rRNA from 1 species
UACGGGGGGAGCAAGCGUUGUUCGGAUUUACUGGGCGUAAAGCGUGCGCAGGCGGUUGUGCAAGACAGAUGUGAAAUCCCCGGGCUUAACCUGGGAAUUGCAUUUGUGACUGUACGGCUAGAGUGUGUCAGAGGGGGGUAGAAUUCCACGUGUAGCAGUGAAAUGCGUAGAGAUGUGGAGGAAUACCGAUGGCGAAGGCAGCCCCCCUGGGAUAACACUGACGCUCAUGCACGAAAGCGUGGGGAGCAAACAGG